rnacentral:rRNA from 1 species
CUACGGGUGGCACCAGUGAGGAAUAUUGCACAAUGGGGGGAACCCUGAUGCAGCAACGCCGCGUGGAGGAUGACGCAUUUCGGUGUGUAAACUCCUUUUAUAUGUCAAGAAAAUGACGGUAGCAUAUGAAUAAGCACCGGCUAACUCCGUGCCAGCAGCCGCGGUAAUACGGAGGGUGCAAGCGUUACUCGGAAUCACUGGGCGUAAAGGACGCGUAGGCGGGUUGGAAAGUCAGGUGUGAAAUCCUACAGCUUAACUGUAGAACUGCACUUGAAACUUCUAAUCUAGAGUAUGGGAGGGGGAGAUGGAAUUAGUGGUGUAGGGGUAAAAUCCGUAGAUAUCACUAGGAAUACCUAAAGCGAAGGCGAUCUCCUGGAACAUUACUGACGCUAAGGCGUGAAAGCGUGGGGAGCAAACAGGAUUAUACCCUGGUAGUC